UUCUCAGUCGUUCGGUUGUACAUCACAUAAUUAUAUUCCAUUUACAGCAGAAUAUAGAAAACAAUAUGCUGUUGGACGAUGAUUACUCAAAAAAAAUUAUUAUUUUAAAACAAUCGUCUGGCACCCUCUGUAGUGAAGAUUACGCCCAUCACCGAGGAACAUCAAGUCUGAUAUGUUCGACAUCCAGCCCAGAAAGAAGCGAUCCUGCAGGGAGCUGACGCAUCAGGUCCCGGUAUAACGGCUCGUGCAACCUCGACCCGUAAACA